GGGGUUGUAGCGCAGCGGGAGCGCGUUGCCUUCGCAAGGCAAAGGCCGUGGGUUCGAAUCCCAUCAACUCCACCA
rnacentral:tRNA from 1 species